rnacentral:lncRNA from 10 species
GUCUGUUAGGGGAACACGGAAAGCAUCCUCAUGCCCCCUGGGUGUUCUUGUUUCUGGAUUUGUAACUCGGCUUUCAGAGUCUUCCUACUACUUCUCUCAGCAGCUAUAAGAAGCAAGCUCUUGUCCUGCUCCUUGUUACCCAGUUGGAAGACUCCUGACUUAGGCAGGGAGAAAAAAGAGGCAUCAGUGUGCCUAACACUUUACUCUGGAGGAAAAGCUGGCUGUCAAGAUGAGGCCGUGGCCACACAUUUUUUAACAUAAAUAUUUAAGGAAUAUUGAUUGGAAAGGCCAUUGAAUGACAACUGUUCUCAGAGUGCCUGCAUCUCUUAUGCUGGCCACGGCUCCCUUGACCCUCAGAGCAAGUUCUGCCACCACAUUAUCUCCAAAAGCUGUGUUCAGGAAUUUGUCCAGCUUCCCAGGACUCUACAGGCAAAAGGAGAGGUUUGGGUGAGCAGAGGUGGCAGAUGACUUCAUGCAGAGGCCUGCAGGUUACUCUCAGGACCUCUCCCCAUCCACUUAUGAGAGAACUGAAUAAAUAGCCAGAAGAUGGAAAACAAGGGAAAUAAAUGAUGACAAAGUAGAGAAAGAGACAGACCAACUACACGAAGAAGUUUGCUUCCAAGGUGGAAAUCCUUCUCCAGUGACCAGAGGAAUGACCAGCUCCCCACCUUCUCACUGUCCAGCAGUCCCUGCUAACCCACAGGUAUGUGCUGAUGCCAGUUCACCUACUUCCUCACCUGUGAGCACAGGUCACAAAGAGGGAAGAUGUUGAGGAAGAUUUGAAGCCUGAAGGACAGAGGGGGACAGCACAUUAGGAAUUCUAGUGAGUUAGUUU